rnacentral:misc_RNA from 1 species
GAAACGCGAUAGGUAAUGUGAAUUGCAGAAUUCAGUGAAUCAUCGAAUCUUUGAACGCACCUUGCGCUCCCUGGUAUUCCUAGGAGCAUGCCUGUUUGAGUGUCAUGAACACCUCAAACCCCAAUGUUUUGCAAAAAACAUUGUCUUGGGUUUGGUUCUGGGCUUUUAUUGCCGCUUCGUUAUGAAGCAGCUAGCCUAAAAGAGAUUAGCUAGGACUCUUGCACUGCGAGAGCUUCCCCAUUUGAUGUGAUAAAUGUCCGUCGAUGUGGGUCAAGCGCUCCAGUGUAUUAUUUGGAGUCUGCUUCCAAUUCGGCGAAAAGUCUUAGCACUUUGACCCAAUUAUUCUAAACUCUGGCCUCAAAUCAGGUAGGAUUACCCGCUGAACUUAA